AACGAACGCUGGCGGCAUGCCUAACACAUGCAAGUCGAACGAGACCUUCGGGUCUAGUGGCGCACGGGUGCGUAACGCGUGGGAACCUUCCCUUAGGUUCGGACUACCUCCCCGACAGGGGUGCUAUUACCGGAUAAUGUCUUCUGACCAAAGAUUUAUCGCCUUUGGUUGGGCCCGCGUUGGAUUCGCUAGUUGUUAGGGUAACAGCAUACCAAGGCGACGAUCCAUAGCUGGUCUGAGAGGAUGAUCAGCCACACUAGGACUAAGACGCGGCCCAGAAUCUUACGGGAGGGAGGAGAGGGGAAUAUUGGAAAAUGGGGGAAGGGAUGAUACAGCAAAGCAGGGUGAAUGAUGUAGGUCUUAGAGAUGUAAAGCUUUUUUAACCGGGAAGAUAAUGACAGUACCGGGAGAAUAAGCGCCGGCUAACUACGUG
rnacentral:rRNA from 1 species